AGAGUGCUGCACUGCAUCGCUGGAUCAAAGCAAGACUAAUGACUACAGCAGAGAUGUAGCUACAGCACCGAGGCACCAAGUGCUCCCGCUCACAAUGCAGAGCUGUAGUUAAACCACAAGUGGACUAAAGAAAAACUGUGCAGGUGUAGAUAUGACAGGGAGCAUAUACUGUGCACUUAAAGGAGAGUGAAGAAGCUGAAGAUACCAGGAGGCCUUUGAAAAUGUCCUCCACGCUACCCGUGGCUACAAAGACGUUGGAUGUCCUAAGAAUAACAACAAAGAGGCCUGUGAUCGAUUCAUGGCAUUUUGUAUCAGCGCAGACUCUCUUCAGCUAAAAUUAGCUCCUCACAUCAUUUGCUGACUAAAUACCUUGCAAACAAUGUGAUGUGAGGGGAAAAAAGGCUGGAUGAACAUUUGAAAAACACCUCUCGCAUAUUUUCAGUUGCUUCGUCCACACUUGAUGGCAACAAAAUGGACAUUUUUAGUCAUUUCUAAGUAAUUUCAAAUAAUAAAUAAUAAAAAAAGGUGCAGUAA